rnacentral:rRNA from 1 species
UACGUAGGGUGCGAGCGUUGUCCGGAAUCAUUGGGCGUAAAGAGCGUGUAGGCGGCCUUAUAAGUCGGCUGUGAAAGUCAAGGGCUCAACCCUUGAAUGCCGGCCGAUACUGUGAGGCUAGAGUCCGGAAGAGGCGAGUGGAAUUCCUGGUGUAGCGGUGAAAUGCGCAGAUAUCGGGAGGAACACCUAUGGCGAAGGCAGCUCGCUGGGACGUUACUGACGCUGAGACGCGAAAGCGUGGGGAGCAAACAGG